UGGGUAGGGGAGCUUCCCAUACGGGUUGAAGCAUGACCGUAAGGACGUGUGGACAGUAUGGGAGUGGGAAUGUUGGCAUGAGUAGCGAGAUGUGGGUGGGAAUCCCACAGGCCGUAAACCCAAGGUUUCCAGGGGAAGGUUCGUCCGCCCUGGGUUAGUCGGGACCUAAGCUGAGGCCGAAAGGCGUAGGUGAUGGACAACAGGUUGAUAUUCCUGUACUACC
rnacentral:rRNA from 1 species